GACGAACGCUGGCGGCGUGCCUAAUACAUGCAAGUAGAACGCACAGUUUAUACCGUAGCUUGCUACACCAUAAACUGUGAGUUGCGAACGGGUGAGUAACGCGUAGGUAAGCUGCCUGGUAGCGGGGGAUAACUAUUGGAAACGAUAGCUAAUACCGCAUAAUAUUGAUUAUUGCAUGAUAAUUGAUUGAAAGCUGCUAUUGCAUCACUACCAGAUGGACCUGCGUUGUAUUAGCUAGUAGGUGAGGUAACGGCUCACCUAGGCGACGAUACAUAGCCGACCUGAGAGGGUGAUCGGCCACACUGGGACUGAGACACGGCCCAGACUCCUACGGGAGGCAGCAGUAGGGAAUCUUCGGCAAUGGACGAAAGUCUGACCGAGCAACGCCGCGGGAGUGAAGAAGGUUUUCGGAUCGUAAAGCUCUGUUGUAAGAGAAGAACGGGUGUGAGAGUGGAAAGUUCACACUGUGACGGUAUCUUACCAGAAAGGGACGGCUAACUACGUG
rnacentral:rRNA from 1 species